AGGAGAUUGCUGAAGGACUAGAUAAGAUUCUAAAGGGAUUGCAGGGUAUUUUGGAUGAAUACAAAUUAACCAAACACAUCCUGAAAUCCAUUUGCGCAGCAUUAGACUGCAUACGGACAUCAAAGUUGACAAAAAUCCGAAUCAAGG